ensembl:snRNA U6 U6 spliceosomal RNA
AUACUCCCUGCAGCAGUACACAUACUAAAAUUGAAAUAACACAAAGAUUAGCAUGGCCCCUGUACAAAGAUGACAUGCAAAUUCAUGAAGUGUCUCAUAUUUAA